rnacentral:rRNA from 1 species
UUCUGUAAGCCUGUGAAGGUGUGCUGUGAGGCAUGCUGGAGGUAUCAGAAGUGCGAAUGCUGACAUAAGUAACGAUAAAGCGGGUGAAAAGCCCGCUCGCCGGAAGACCAAGGGUUCCUGUCCAACGUUAAUCGGGGCAGGGUGAGUCGACCCCUAAGGCGAGGCCGAAAGGCGUAGUCGAUGGGAAACGGGUUAAUAUUCCCGUACUUGGUGUUACUGCGAAGGGGGGACGGAGAAGGCUAUGUUGGCCGGGCGACGGUUGUCCCGGUUUAAGCGUGUAGGUGUGUGUUCCAGGUAAAUCCGGUUCACUUUAACACUGAGGCGUGACGACGAGGCACUACGGUGCUGAAGCAACAAAUGCCCUGCUUCCAGGAAAAGCCUCUAAGCAUCAGGUAACAUCAAAUCGUACCCCAAACCGACACAGGUGGUCAGGUAGAGAAUACCAAGGCGCUUGAGAGAACUCGGGUGAAGGAACUAGGCAAAAUGGUGCCGUAACUUCGGGAGAAGGCACGCUGACACGUAGGUGAAGUGAUUUACUCAUGGAGCUGAAGUCAGUCGAAGAUACCAGCUGGCUGCAACUGUUUAUUAAAAACACAGCACUGUGCAAACACGAAAGUGGACGUAUACGGUGUGACGCCUGCCCGGUGCCGGAAGGUUAAUUGAUGGGGUCAGCGCAAGCGAAGCUCCUGAUCGAAGCCCCGGUAAACGGCGGCCGUAACUAUAACGGUCCUAAGGUAGCGAAAUUCCUUGUCGGGUAAGUUCCGACCUGCACGAAUGGCGUAAUGAUGGCCAGGCUGUCUCCACCCGAGACUCAGUGAAAUUGAACUCGCUGUGAAGAUGCAGUGUACCCGCGGCAAGACGGAAAGACCCCGUGAACCUUUACUAUAGCUUGACACUGAACAUUGAGCCUUGAUGUGUAGGAUAGGUGGGAGGCUUUGAAGUGUGGACGCCAGUCUGCAUGGAGCCGACCUUGAAAUACCACCCUUUAAUGUUUGAUGUUCUAACGUGGACCCGUAAUCCGGGUUGCGGACAGUGUCUGGUGGGUAGUUUGACUGGGGCGGUCUCCUCCUAAAGAGUAACGGAGGAGCACGAAGGUUGGCUAAUCCUGGUCGGACAUCAGGAGGUUAGUGCAAUGGCAUAAGCCAGCUUGACUGCGAGCGUGACGGCGCGAGCAGGUGCGAAAGCAGGUCAUAGUGAUCCGGUGGUUCUGAAUGGAAGGGCCAUCGCUCAACGGAUAAAAGGUACUCCGGGGAUAACAGGCUGAUACCGCCCAAGAGUUCAUAUCGACGGCGGUGUUUGGCACCUCGAUGUCGGCUCAUCACAUCCUGGGGCUGAAGUAGGUCCCAAGGGUAUGGCUGUUCGCCAUUUAAAGUGGUACGCGAGCUGGGUUUAGAACGUCGUGAGACAGUUCGGUCCCUAUCUGCCGUGGGCGCUGGAGAACUGAGGGGGGCUGCUCCUAGUACGAGAGGACCGGAGUGGACGCAUCACUGGUGUUCGGGUUGUCAUGCCAAUGGCACUGCCCGGUAGCUAAAUGCGGAAGAGAUAAGUGCUGAAAGCAUCUAAGCACGAAACUUGCCCCGAGAUGAGUUCUCCCUGAGACUUUAGGUCUCCUGAAGGAACGUUGAAGACGACGACGUUGAUAGGCCGGGUGUGUAAGCGCAGCGAUGCGUUGAGCUAACCGGUACUAAUGAACCGUGAGGCUUAACCUUACAACGCCGAA